GGGGGUAUAGCUUAGUGGUAGAGCACAUGCUUAGCAUGCAUGAGGUCCUGGGUUCAAUACCCAGUACCUCCA
rnacentral:tRNA from 1 species